rnacentral:rRNA from 1 species
UACGAAGGGGGCUAGCGUUGCUCGGAAUUACUGGGCGUAAAGCGCACGUAGGCGGAUUGUUAAGUCGGGGGUGAAAUCCUGGAGCUCAACUCCAGAACUGCCUUCGAUACUGGCGAUCUAGAGUCCGGGAGAGGUGAGUGGAACUGCGAGUGUAGAGGUGAAAUUCGUAGAUAUUCGCAAGAACACCAGUGGCGAAGGCGGGUCUCUGGACAGUUCCUGACGCUGAGGCACGAAGGUCAGGGGAGCAAACGGG